UUUUAUCCUUUGUUUUAAUUGGUUUAUAAAUACUUUUAUGCAUUUUGAAAUUUUGAAAAUUUUAUUCUAUGUCUCUUAUUUUAUUUUCAUCCUUCCAUAAUUUUCUUGGCCAUUUAUUUAGUGUUUUGAAGGGUUUUAUGGAUUUUCUCUUUUAUUUCCCUUUUAAAAUUCAUUUAAAAAUAAUUUUAAUUCAUUUUAU
rnacentral:lncRNA from 1 species